rnacentral:rRNA from 1 species
CCUACGGGUGGCAGCAGUAGGGAAUCUUCGUCAAUGGGCGCAAGCCUGAACGAGCGAUGCCGCGUGAGUGAAGAAGGCCUUCGGGUCGUAAAGCUCUGUUGCGGGGGAAAAAAGGCAGCAUCAGGAAAUGGGUGCUGACUGAUGGUGCCCCGCCAGAAAGUCACGGCUAACUACGUGCCAGCAGCCGCGGUAAUACGUAGGUGGCGAGCGUUAUCCGGAAUGGUUGGGCGGAAAGGGUGCGCGGGCGGUCCUGCAAGUCUGGAGUGAAAAGGAUGGGCUGAACCCAUGCAUGGCUUUGGAAACUGGAGGACUGGAGAGCAGGAGAGGGCGGUGGAACGCGAAGGGUAGCGGUAAAAUGCGUAGAUAUAUGGAAGAACACCAGUGGCGAAGGCGGCCGCCUGGCCUGUUGCUGACGCUGAGGCACGAAAGCGUGGGGAGCAAAUAGGAUUAGAUACCCUUGUAGUC